GACGAACGCUGGCGGCGUGCCUAAUACAUGCAAGUUGAGCGCUGAAGGUUGGUACUUGUACCAACUGGAUGAGCAGCGAACGGGUGAGUAACGCGUGGGGAAUCUGCCUUUGAGCGGGGGACAACAUUUGGAAACGAAUGCUAAUACCGCAUAAAAACUUUAAACACAAGUUUUAAGUUUCAAAGAUGCAAUUGCAUCACUCAAAGAUGAUCCCGCGUUGUAUUAGCUAGUUGGUGAGGUAAAGGCUCACCAAGGCGAUGAUACAUAGCCGACCUGAGAGGGUGAUCGGCCACAUUGGGACUGAGACACGGCCCAAACUCCUACGGGAGGCAGCAGUAGGGAAUCUUCGGCAAUGGACGAAAGUCUGACCGAGCAACGCCGCGUGAGUGAAGAAGGUUUUCGGAUCGUAAAACUCUGUUGGUAGAGAAGAACGUUGGUGAGAGUGGAAAGCUCAUCAAGUGACGGUAACUACCCAGAAAGGGACGGCUAACUACGUG
rnacentral:rRNA from 1 species